AUUGAACGCUGGCGGCAGGCCUAACACAUGCAAGUCGAGCGGCAGCGGGACCUUCGGGUCGCCGGCGAGCGGCGGACGGGUGAGUAAUGCCUAGGAAUCUGCCUGUUAGUGGGGGAUAACGCGGGGAAACUCGCGCUAAUACCGCAUACGUCCUACGGGAGAAAGCGGGGGACCCUCGGGCCUCACGCUAACAGAUGAGCCUAGGUCGGAUUAGCUAGUUGGUGGGGUAAAGGCCCACCAAGGCGACGAUCCGUAACUGGUCUGAGAGGAUGAUCAGUCACACUGGAACUGAGACACGGUCCAGACUCCUACGGGAGGCAGCAGUGGGGAAUAUUGGACAAUGGGCGAAAGCCUGAUCCAGCCAUGCCGCGUGUGUGAAGAAGGUCUUCGGAUUGUAAAGCACUUUAAGUUGGGAGGAAGGGCGCUCGGUGAAUACCCAAGCGUCUUGACGUUACCGACAGAAUAAGCACCGGCUAACUUCGUGCCAGCCGCCGCCGUAAAAC
rnacentral:rRNA from 1 species